rnacentral:rRNA from 1 species
UGCCAGACUCCUACGGGAGGCAGCAGUGGGGAAUAUUGCACAAUGGGGGAAACCCUGAUGCAGCGACGCCGCGUGAGCGAUGAAGUAUUUCGGUAUGUAAAGCUCUAUCAGCAGGGAAGAAAAUGACGGUACCUGACUAAGAAGCCCCGGCUAACUACGUGCCAGCAGCCGCGGUAAUACGUAGGGGGCAAGCGUUAUCCGGAUUUACUGGGUGUAAAGGGCGUGCAGCCGGGCUGACAAGUCAGAUGUGAAAUCCCGCGGCUCAACCGCGGAACUGCAUUUGAAACUGUUAGUCUUGAGUACCGGAGAGGUCAUCGGAAUUCCUUGUGUAGCGGUGAAAUGCGUAGAUAUAAGGAAGAACACCAGUGGCGAAGGCGGAUGACUGAACGGCAACUGACGGUGAGGCGCGAAAGCGUGGGGAGCAAACAGGAUUAGAUACCCGAGUACA